UCCUUUGACGUUAGCGGCGGACGGGUGAGUAACACGUGGGUAACCUACCUAUAAGACUGGGAUAACUUCGGGAAACCGGAGCUAAUACCGGAUAAUAUUUCGAACCGCAUGGUUCGAUAGUGAAAGAUGGUUUUGCUAUCACUUAUAGAUGGACCCGCGCCGUAUUAGCUAGUUGGUAAGGUAACGGCUUACCAAGGCGACGAUACGUAGCCGACCUGAGAGGGUGAUCGGCCACACUGGAACUGAGACACGGUCCAGACUCCUACGGGAGGCAGCAGGU
rnacentral:rRNA from 1 species